rnacentral:rRNA from 1 species
UACGGGGGGGGCAAGCGUUGUUCGGAAUUACUGGGCGUAAAGGGCUCGUAGGUGGCCAACUAAGUCAUACGUGAAAUCCCUCGGCUUAACCGGGGAACUGCGUCUGAUACUGGAUGGCUUGAGGUUGGGAGAGGGAUGCGGAAUUCCAGGUGUAGCGGUGAAAUGCGUAGAUAUCUGGAGGAACACCGGUGGCGAAGGCGACUCUUUGGCCUGUAACUGACGCUGAGGCGCGAAAGCGUGGGGAGCAAACAGG